CCUACGGGUGGCUGCAGUGAGGAAUAUUGGUCAAUGGCCGGAAGUCUGAACCAGCCAUGCCGCGUGAAGGUCAGUGCCCUAUGGGCGUUAAACUUCUUUUGUGCGGGAUCAAUAAUGGUCACGUUUGGCCCGCCGAGAUUACCGUCCUAAUAAGCAUCGUCUAACUCCGUUCCAGCAGCCGCGGUAAUACGGGGGAUGCAAGCGUUAUCCGGAGUUAUUGGGUUUAAAGGGUGCGUAGGCUGUGAGGUAAGUCAGCGGUGAAAUGCCCCCGCUCAAAGGGGUGAAGUGCCGUUGAUACUGCCGGGCUGGAAUGCGGAUGCCGUGGGAGGAAUGUGUGGUGUAGCGGUGAAAUGCAUAGAGAUCACACAGAACACCGAUUGCGAAGGCAUCUGACGAAGCCGCGAUUGACGCUGAUGCACGAAAGCGUGGGUAUCAAACAGGAUUAGAUACCCUUGUAGUC
rnacentral:rRNA from 1 species